rnacentral:rRNA from 2 species
UUAAAUUGAAGAGUUUGAUCAUGGCUCAGAUUGAACGCUGGCGGCAGGCCUAACACAUGCAAGUCGAGCGGCAGCGGGAAAGUAGCUUGCUACUUUUGCCGGCGAGCGGC